rnacentral:rRNA from 1 species
AGCAGUCGCCGCGGGAAUACAGAGGGUGCGAGCGUUAAUCGGAUUUACUGGGCGUAAAGCGUGCGUAGGCGGCUUUUUAAGUCGGAUGUGAAAUCCUUGAGCUUAACUUAGGAAUUGCAUUCGAUACUGGGAAGCUAGAGUAUGGGAGAGGAUGGUAGAAUUCCAGGUGUAGCGGUGAAAUGCGUAGAGAUCUGGAGGAAUACCGAUGGCGAAGGCAGCCAUCUGGCCUAAUACUGACGCUGAGGUACGAAAGCAUGGGGAGCAAACAGGAUUAGAUACCCCUGUAGUCCCUGUCUCUUAUAC